GGCAAAACUCCGUUAAUAAACACGACCAUUUCGGUGAAUCAAUAGAAGCAUAAAGCGUGGGAAGGAAAGGAUGAUCUAACAUUUCAAGUAUUUCCCGUUCAGUCCUCGCUCUUCCUUCCUUAUUACGGCUCGCAAGUUCCUUCUUAUCCAUAACUUUCGCUGCAAAGUACGCCGAUACCGCCGUCGAUUUCGAAAUCUCCGUUACCGGAGCAGCUUUGAUUUCCGCGAGAAAAACGGAACCUAUAUCGCCGGAUCCUAAUCGAUGGAGAAAUCGGAGAUCAGUUAGAGAAAUUGCCGACGAAGUAGAAGUUGAAAUACCCCGUGUAAUGGCGUCCCAGUAAGGAUCACCGGAAGGAGUAGCGGCGCGUGGCUUAGUGAUAUGGUGGUGAAGAGAGCUGGAUGAGAUAGAAGAAGCCGUAGCCGUCCAUGUGGCUUCGGAGCCGGAGCUAGUCGACCGGUUAAUAUCAGUUGCGGUAGUGGUAGUAGAGUUGAAGCUGAUGCUUUGAAGAUCGUCGACUAAGUCGUCG
rnacentral:misc_RNA from 1 species